ACAAUCGUUCGGAAAUUCACUUUUAGUUUAUUUUCGUCUUGAGAUCCGUUUGCUGCUCAAUUUCUCGCAUGUAGAACACAUUUCAAUUCGUGUUUCCUCACUUUAUUAUGAAAUUUCUUCAUUACCUUUGCGUGCAUUAAAAGUUCAACAAAUUGCUAUUUUUACAAAAUUUGAAGUUCAAUUGAAGUGAAACGCAAAAAGUGACUCAUCAUGAUUGAAAAACGAUUUUUUUCGCUGUUACUUCUUUGUUGUUUACUGAACAACACAUUCGCUCUUCGUUGCUUUGUUUGUGGCCCUGACGAGAAUUGUGGCAAGAAUUACCAAUUGCAGACCGUGAAUUGCGGCAAUAACAGCCCCAACCUCUACAACUAUCAAUGCGUCAAAUAUUCCAUUGGUGACGCAGUCGCUCGUGGCUGUUUCCUGGAUUCGUUCUGCCGAGAACAGCCCUAUUGUCACGGCUGCGAUUAUGACUUUUGUAAUGGAGCUGUUUCGCUAUCUUCUUCGUCGUCGCUUCUGAAAUUGCUUGCGAUUGUCUUGACAAUGGUUCUUUUGUUAUCGCGUCGAAAUUAGUGAAGCAUGUAAAUAUUUUUACUGCUUCGAAGAAGAUUCCAUAUUGAUUUAUGAUAAUUUUUUUGGAAAUUAUUCACCGAGACAAUUUGUACAAAAAACGACACAAUUGGAUUUACUACCAAACAAAAUAUUAGCAAUUAUUAAUAUGUAAGACACUUAGCAUAAUAAAAUGUUUUUUUUUUACUAGCCGUCCUCUUAAUUAAUUGAAAUUUUUUAUUCAAGUGAAAUACGAGAAUAUAAUUCAAUUAAUCCAUUAAGUUGAACUUGUGCUGCUGAUAAAUUUAAUAAGUGAAUUUUUUUUAAAGUCAAGUGAAUUUCCGUAAAAGAGUUCACAUCGUUAAAUUAAUUUAUUCAAUUUUUAUUUUUUGUUUCAAAACUUUUAUCUUCAAAAGGUCAAUUUUUGUACGGAAGUUGGAUAAAAAAUCAUAAAUUUCCAAAAAAUCAUUUUUUUUUUGGUUUUUUAAAGAAAUUAAAUAAUUAUUUAGACAAAAAAUUAAAAAUUUUAUCUUAAAAAAUUUUAUCAUGUUGAAACAUGCAAAAUACAGGAUAACGGGAUUCAACAAGUAAGUAUGUGAGGAGUAUCAAAAUGAGAAGAAUUUACUCGAUAAGAAAGAUAACGGAAUUUUUAAAGAUAAAAUAAAGGUAAAAAUUCUUUGAUAACUUGAAGAGACUUUUGAAGCUCAAAAAGGCAGAUUUUCAGUAAAAAUUAAGGGAAUUGCUUUCUUUUCUGAUAAUUUUUACGAAAAUCAGAAGAAGCUUUUUUAACCUCUUUUGAAAGCCCUCAUAGGCUGAAAAUUAGGCAAUUUUUUUUAUAAAUUUAAAA